rnacentral:rRNA from 1 species
UGGGAAUAUUGGACAAUGGGAGCAAUCCUGAUCCAGCAAUCCCGCGUGAGUGAUGAAGGCCUUCGGGUCGUAAAGCUCUUUUAGGAGGGAAGAAGGGAAACUUGACGGUACCUCCAGAAAAAGCACCGGCUAACUCUGUGCCAGCAGCCGCGGUAAUACAGAGGGUGCAAGCGUUGUUCGGAAUCAUUGGGCGUAAAGCGCGUGUAGGUGGCUUUCUAAGUCUGGUGUGAAAGCCCGGGGCUCAACCCCGGAAGUGCACUGGAUACUGGAAAGCUAGAGGGCGAGAGAGGAGAUUGGAAUUCAUGGUGUAGGGGUGAAAUCCGUAGAUAUCAUGAGGAACAUCUGUGGCGAAGGCGAAUCUCUGGCUCGUUUCUGACACUGAGACGCGAAAGCGUGGGGAGCAAAC